rnacentral:rRNA from 1 species
UACGUAGGGGGCUAGCGUUGUCCGGAAUCAUUGGGCGUAAAGAGCGUGUAGGCGGUCCGGUAAGUCCGCUGUGAAAGUCGGGGGCUCAACCCUCGAAUGCCGGUGGAUACUGUCGGGCUAGAGUGCGGAAGAGGCGAGCGGAAUUCCUGGUGUAGCGGUGAAAUGCGCAGAUAUCAGGAGGAACACCUAUUGCGAAGGCAGCUCGCUGGGACGUAACUGACGCUGAGGGACGAAAGCUAGGGGAGCGAAUGGG